AGGAGGUAGGAGAGGAGGAGAGAGGAGAAGGUAGUAGAGGAGGAGAGGGGAGGAGAGGAGGUAGUAGAGGAGGAGAGAGGAGGAGGUAGUAGAGGAGGAGAGAGGGAGGAGGUAGGAGAGGAGGAGAGAGGAGGAGAGAGGAGGGGGUAGUAGAGGAGAGAGAAGGAGGUAGGAGAGGAGGAGAGAGGAAGAGGUAGGAGAGGAGGAGAGAGGAGGAGGUAGGAGAGGAGGAGAGAGGAAGAGGUAGGAGAGGAGGAGAGAGGAGGAGAGAGGAGGAGAGGAGGAGAGGAGGAGGUAGGAGAGGAGAAGAGAGGAGAGGAGGAGAGAGGAG